GACCGCCGCCGCUUACUCAUAUCGUUGACGCCCGCAAACAGUGUACCGUGUCUCAUAUGGCGCUGAUGAUUUAUUUUCUUAUCAACGCAUCGGAUAGUGUUUGGGUUCGCAACAGCAUGCGAUGGAACACACAAACACAAACCGCGAACUAAUAACCGUAGGGAAUUGCUUCCAAAACAUUACACACCUAGCAAAUGGUUUCACGUGCUUUCAUGAUUAAAACACUCUGAUAUACCUAUUUGCCAAGCAAAAAAGAGCUUCAGUUGACUGUUGUUACCUCGCACAAGCUCGCAUUUCGUUCUUUGUUACAAGAUUGCCACAUCCGAGUGUGGGGUUUGUUCUGAGCAAGAGAGACUUGCGACUAUUACGACUUGUGGAAUACCCUGCAACAGGACACACAAUGGCACAAUUGCAUGAGCAAAAUGUUAAAAGGGAAAAUAUUCUCGUGCGAUGCAGAAAUAGGUCGUCACUAUGAAUUGCAUUCUUCAGUCUGGGGACGUUUGCAACAUUCCUGUGCCUCAGCUUACACUACACCACUGUACCAAAGGGAAGAGAGGAGGAUCGAGCUUUCGAAAAACGAUAAAUCACGCUGCAUAAGAGACAACAAUCUGUGCAUUCUUCAGCAUGAAAAUCGUACUACAACUACAUUCGCAAUUUGGAUGACGAUCCAACAGCACUCUCCGCCCCACUAAACGUCGGAUGACGAAUGUAUGCUUUUAACCCUGUGAUGAUAGUGGCAUUUAAGUUGGGAGAACUAUCCGUUAGAUGGUUGACAUGUCAGCGGUCGUUGGGAAUAUGGCCGCUCUGCACGGGUUGAUGAAUUACGCGGUAGUCAGCGAAGCAGAACCGGAAUUAGGGAGUGACUUUCGAUUGAACGGAUUGUGCAGGGGGAAGCUUUCAUUCGUUUACGAAAUCUCUGCUUACAGUAUUGCUCCGAACUAAUUCUCCAAAUGCCGCCAAGUAUCGUAACAGUUGGACAAGAAUGGAGGCUUGCUUGUUGGUUCUGGAUUCUUAAUCUAAUUUGCAUGGCGAAUACGAUUGACAUUUUCGUGGUUCAUUAUGUAGCAGCCUAUCGCUAGCUGGCCUUUUCUUCCAACCUCCUAAACACGCUCGUUGAUAGCGAGUAUGAGUCAGAAUAAAGUUUUAACGUUUUGUAAAAUUCUUGUCUCAAAUCCAGGAUCACCCAAGAAUUCGACGAUGCUGUAAACCUGUUAUGAUGGCGGUUUCUUUUUGCGUUUUAACUUUGCCGCCCAUAUUCUUAUCAACGUUGUUUCAUGUCUUUACAUUCUACCGGUACAAAAUUAGUUCCAGCUCCAGACGCAGUCCAGGUACAUUGCAAAAAGGGAGGUUUGCGAUUCGCGAUGAAAAGUUUAAAUCCGCAUUAAACAACACUGCCAAGCUGAAACCACUUUCUCUCUCACUCCUUUACCGCUGGUCGCGGUACGGAUGAUGGUGCAGUCGCUGUAAAUGGCAUUCAUUCAAAUUGCACACAAACCCCUUCGCGUUCGUCCCGAUCAUCUCGCUGCUUCCGCUUGCGCACUAAGGGCAGUAAACGAACGCGAUCGUUAGGGUGACGUUUAAACAAUUUAACGUUGCGCACCGGCUGGUUUAAAUGCGCGGAAGCAACGCAAACAUAAUACAAUACCACGUCGCGACUCCCUCGCGCGUGUUUGUGUCGAUGGUUUUGCCUCGAUCAACAGCUUCCCCUUUGGAACAGAACGCAGCGACUGUAAGCAGCAGUAGCUCGGAGCCCUAAUAAAGCUCAACCACACUUGUCCCCGUGAAACAUCCGCCGUACCGGUGACAUAUUGAAAAGCCGUAGCGAUACAAUCACAACAUAGCACCAAUACUUGUGCUAGCAGUGUAUAUUGCCACCACAGUCACCAUCUUCACCACUAACCACCCGACCCUUCGGUCAAAGACAGCAUCAUGUAUCACAUGUUUCCAGCUCUUCCGUUCAGUAUCCAACGCGUGUGUCCGCCUUCCUUAGCGGCUGUUUGCCAGUGUUGGUCACGGCGCAAGGUUUGUCGCGACAAAACCUAUCGAACACGCUGUGGUUGUCCUCCAUAUAGCAGAGCACAGGCCCUUUUCGCAAAAUACAUACUACAAACAAACACUAACUGCUGGUAGUGCGCCGGUGACGACGCCACUAUGGUCGGUUCGUGCCUGCUUGCAUCAAUCUUAAUCUAUUUUGAAUGAAGUGAACGAAGGUUGAUGAGGAAGAAGGGAAAAAGGGAGAAUGAGGCCGGGAAGGGAGGGAGGGAGGGGGGUGGGAGGCAUACGGAACUGGGAAUGCAUACAAUAUCAGAUGGCGUGAAUUUACCACCCCACUGGGUUCGCUUGCAUCGACGCUAGAAUAUGCAUGCCUGGAUCGUGAGUCAUUUUCCGUAGCUCGAACUGACGUCGUAGUUCGACCAGGGUCGAUUCGUUUUGCUCCACCGGCGGACGAAUUUGCGUUAUCAAGUUCAUCUAUUCCCAUCUGACCCGUAGGGGGGCAAAUCUAUAUUCAUGAUCAUUAAGCUUUGGUUGGGGAAUGCACCGGAUUGCUGACUAGUACAGGUAUUUCUGAUGAGUCCACCAUAGUGAUCGAUUCUGAACUGAUCGUACAAAAUAAUCGUUAUGAACGAUGAGCAGUAUAUUCUACGUUAAAACUGUGCGUUAA